rnacentral:rRNA from 1 species
GAUGAACGCUAGCUACAGGCUUAACACAUGCAAGUCGCGGGGCAGCAUGGGGGUUGCUUGCAAUCCCCGAUGGCGACCGGCGCACGGGUGAGUAACGCGUAUCCAACCUGCCCUUCACCACGGGAUAACCCGGCGAAAGUCGGACUAAUACCGUAUGUUGUCCAUUGACGGCAUCCGAUUUGGACGAAAGGUUUGGCGGUGAAGGAUGGGGAUGCGUCCGAUUAGCUGGACGGCGGGGUGACGGCCCACCGUGGCGACGAUCGGUAGGGGUUCUGAGAGGAAGGUCCCCCACACUGGAACUGAGACACGGUCCAGACUCCUACGGGAGGCAGCAGUGAGGAAUAUUGGUCAAGGGGCGUAAGCCUGAACCAGCCAAGUAGCGUGCAGGAUGACGGCCCUAUGGGUUGUAAACUGCUUUUAUGCGGGGAUAAAGUGGCCCACGUGUGGGUUUUUGCAGGUACCGCAUGAAUAAGGACCGGCUAAUUCCGUG